rnacentral:rRNA from 1 species
AAUUCGCCCUUAGAGUUUGAUCCUGGCUCAGAGUGAACGCUGGCGGCGUGCUUAACACAUGCAAGUCGAACGAGAACGGCCCUAGCUUGCUAGGGUGUCAGCUAAGUGGCGCACGGGUGAGUAAUGUAUAGCUAACAUGCCCCAUAGAGGGGGAUAACAGUUGGAAACGACUGCUAAUACCCCAUACUCCUUCAUCACGUAAGUGAUGUUGGGAAAGGUUUAUUCCGCUAUGGGAUUGGGCUAUAUCGUAUCAGCUAGUUGGUAGGGUAACGGCCUACCAAGGCUAUGACGCGUAGCGGGUCUGAGAGGAUGAUCCGCCACACUGGAACUGAGACACGGUCCAGACUCCUACGGGAGGCAGCAGUGGGGAAUAUUGGGCAAUGGGCGAAAGCCUGACCCAGCAACGCCGCGUGGAGGAUGACGCCUUUCGGGGUGUAAACUCCU